UUUGGAGUGAUGAAAUAAAUCAUUCGGAUUCCCAAUGAUUAAUUUUCUAUUAUGAUAUUAACAACCAUCUACUUCUGACUAUU